rnacentral:rRNA from 1 species
CCUACGGGAGGCUGCAGUGAGGAAUAUUGGUCAAUGGGCUUACGCCUGAACCAGCCAAGUCGCGUGAGGGAAGACUGCCCUAUGGGUUGUAAACCUCUUUUGUCAGGGAGCAAUUGGCGCUACGUGUAGCGUUAUCGAGAGUACCUGAAGAAAAAGCAUCGGCUAACUCCGUGCCAGCAGCCGCGGUAAUACGGAGGAUGCGAGCGUUAUCCGGAUUUAUUGGGUUUAAAGGGUGCGUAGGCGGAAUGCCAAGUCAGCGGUAAAAUCGCGGGGCUCAACCUCGCUCCGCCGUUGAAACUGGCGUGCUUGAGUGGGCGAGAAGUAUGCGGAAUGCGUGGUGUAGCGGUGAAAUGCAUAGAGAUCACGCAGAACUCCGAUUGCGAAGGCAGCAUACCGGCGCCCAACUGACGCUGAAGCACGAAAGCGUGGGUAUCGAACAGGAUUAGAUACCCUUGUAGUC